UCCUGCUCAGAGUNACGCUGCGGUAGCCUANCACAUCAAGUCGACGNCAGCACAGUAAAGCUUGCUCUUACGGGUGGCGAGUGCGACGGGUNAGAAUGCAUCGGAAUCUACUCUGUCGUGGGGGAUAACGUAGGGAAACUUACGCUAAUACCGCAUACGACCUACGGGUGAAAGCAGGGGAUCUUCGGACCUUGCGCGAUUGAAUGAGCCGAUGCCCGAUUAGCUAGUUGGCGGGGUAAGAGCCCACCAAGGCGACGAUCGGUAGCUGGUCUGAGAGGAUGAUCAGCCACACUGGAACUGAGACACGGUCCAGACUCCUACGGGAGGCAGCAGUGGGGAAUAUUGGACAAUGGGCGCAAGCCUGAUCCAGCCAUACCGCGUGGGUGAAGAAGGCCUUCGGGUUGUAAAGCCCUUUUGUUGGGAAAGAAAAGCAGUCGGUUAAUACCCGAUUGUUCUGACGGUACCCAAAGAAUAAGCACCGGCUAACUUCGUGCCAGCAGCCGCGGUAAUACGAAGGGUGCAAGCGUUACUCGGAAUUACUGGGCGUAAAGCGUGCGUAGGUGGUUGUUUAAGUCUGUCGUGAAAGCCCUGGGCUCAACCUGGGAAUUGCGAUGGAAACUGGGCGACUAGAGUGUGGCAGAGGGUAGUGGAAUUCCUGGUGUAGCAGUGAAAUGCGUAGAGAUCAGGAGGAACAUCCGUGGCGAAGGCGACUGCCUGGGCCAACACUGACACUGAGGCACGAAAGCGUGGGACA
rnacentral:rRNA from 1 species